ensembl:lncRNA
CAAAAGAGUGGAGGCAGCACAAAUGUCCGUUAACAAAAGAGCGGAUAAAGUCAGUGGACCAGAUCUAUACGGAGGGAUAUAGCAAGGAAAGUGAGUGAACAUUUCAACAUGCCAACAUGGACGAAUCUCACAACCAUAAAGAUGAACAGUAACUAAAAAAGUCCCCACUCUCUUGCUGGGCCUUUGUGAUUGUGACGGCUAAUUGUACUGUCAGCUGAGCUAAGCGAUGACCAGAUGGCUGGGAGAAGAUUUCAUUGCAGGAAUAAACAGAAGAGAUUCAAAGGCUGCUUGGUCAACAGAAAAGAGGCCGAGUUUACCAUAAGGAUGCCUGGCGCUAAGGAACACAGGAUCCACGAGACCCUAGAAGGAAAUGCAGGUAUGACAGGCAGCAGGAGUUUGGGAAGCCCCUCUAGGGCUCCACCAUUAAAAUGAUUACAUGUUGCUGUGUAUCCAG